UGUGUGAAUUAGGUGGGAGUGGUACAACUUUAUAAAACUUUCCUCCCAUAAUGUCGCUGAAGAGAAGAGCGUGUAUAAGAUGGAUUUUGAUGCUAGCUUUGUGGUGUCUAAGAUGAAGGGAAAACUACAUUGCUAAAUCUACAAUUAAGAAGAUUGUCACUGACUUCUGCUGCUUAAAAUCUUAUACUCAUGUUUAUGCUAUUACCGCAAGGUACCAUAUGGAUUACGAAAAACCCUGAAGGUAAGGGUGAAAUUCUUAGUAAGUACUCGUUGCACAGUGUCUGGCGUGCAAUAAGAUUCUGAGAUAAUGUGAAUUUCUUACAUGGAAUGCUGCUUAUAUAUUUUAAUGUAGUCUAUUUCACAAGGAAGCUUUUGGCCUGCUCAAUAGCUUUUCUACGGUUCUGACAACAGGGUGGUCCCUUUAUGUUUUUUCUCCACCUAUUUUUUACUCUCUGUUCUAAAUAAAUGAGGGAUCACAAUUUUUAAUUUAAAGGCAAGGUGCUCUUUGUCCAUCUUUUAUUCAAAAUUGUAUUUCACGAAUUUGUCUUGUGUUACGUCUCUAGUUUUAUCUAUCUGGUGAACUUUGCCUUAAGAUAGAGUCUAACCUGCUUAAUUUUCAGGAAAUCGAUCUUUUUAGUUGCAACGUUGUAUGCAUCUAUGAAUGGAGCGGGAAAAGAUAAUUAUGAACUGAGGUCUGGUACUAUGAAAGGUAACAAUAGAUGCCAAUCUAAUAUAAUUAGUAAGUAUAUUUUAGGGAUGAACCAGUGUAUGAGAGGAUGGUAACCAUUUAAGUACGAAGAAAAUCGUAUUGGAAAUAAAACUUUUUUGUGUGACUACUUUAUAAACAAGACAAUGACCUGUACUUACAGUUCACUUGACUGGAAAACAUGGAUCCUGCCGGCACGAAGACUGGACGAAAUAAGAAGAGAAUUUAGAGAUGAUUUCUAGGAGAGUUGUGCGGAUUAUUAAAAGUCUUUAUUGUGAUUUGCAUGUGGAGAAAAGGUCUUAAUUGUUGUUCCGAGCCUUUCUGAAGAUGGAGAAAUCGAUGAAAUGAAAUUUUGGACAGAUCUGGUGAUGGUGACAGAUGGUGUGAGAAAGGACAACAAAGUGUACUAAGCUCCCGCUAUGCGCGGGGUCCGGGAAAGGACCGGACCACAAGGGUCUAUUGUACACAGCCUUAUUCUGCAUGUCUGUAAGAGACUGUUUCCACUGCUCAAACCCAUGAUCUCCUGGUCACAUGGCAGCAACUUUACCAGUUAUGCCAAGGCUCCCCUUCAGAUGGUGUGAGAAAGGCUUACAAAAUAUGUGCAUACACGUUUCUUUGUAUUUGUGAAGCAAGGUAAGUACAGAAAUAGACAUAAAAGUAGGCCAUUCGGACAUUUUUCUCCCUUGACAUUAUUGAAUGACCUUGGUUUUAUAGUCUAAAGGUUAUAACAUGGUGCAUUAUUUUA